rnacentral:rRNA from 1 species
CUACGUAGGUGACAAGCGUUAUCCGGAUUUACUGGGCGUAAAGGGCGCGUAGGCGGUCUUGUAAGUCAGAAGUGAAAUUCCUGAGCUCAACUCGGGCGCUGCUUCUGAAACUGCAGGACUUGAGUGCUGGAGGGGAAAGCGGAAUUCCUAGUGGAGCGGUAAAAUGCGUAGAUAUUAGGAAGAACACCGGUGGCGAAGGCGGCUAUCUGGACAGUAACUGACGCUGAGGCGCGAAAGCGUGGGGAGCAAACAGGAUUAGAUCCCCUGGUAGUCCACGCCGUAAACGAUGAAUACUAGGUGUAGGGGGUAUCGACUCCCUCUGUGCCGCAGUUAACACAAUAAGUAUUCCGCCUGGGGAGUACGGCCGCAAGGUUGAAACUUAAAGGAAUUGACGGGG